rnacentral:piRNA from 1 species
UGGCAUAACUGAUUAAUUUGGGAUAUCAGU